rnacentral:rRNA from 1 species
UACAGAGGGUGCAAGCGUUGUUCGGAAUUACUGGGCGUAAAGCGCGUGUAGGCUGCGGAGUAAGUCGGAUGUGAAAUCCCUUGGCUUAACCAAGGAAGUGCAUCCGAUACUGUUUCGCUUGAGUGUCGGAGGGGAUGGCGGAAUUCCCGGUGUAGAGGUGAAAUUCGUAGAUAUCGGGAGGAACACCUGUGGCGAAGGCGGCCAUCUGGACGACAACUGACGCUGAGACGCGAAAGCGUGGGUGGCAAACAGG